rnacentral:rRNA from 1 species
GGAAUAUUGGGCAAUGGGCGCAAGCCUGACCCAGCGACGCCGCGUGGGUGAUGAAGGCCCUUGGGUCGUAAAACCCUGUCAUGCGGGAAGAAAGAGCUGAGCUCGAACAGGGCCCAGCUCUGACGGUACCGCAGGAGGAAGCCCCGGCUCACUCCGUGCCCCCAGCCGCGGUAAUACGGAGGGGGCCAGCGCUAUUCGGAAUUAUUGGGCGUAAAGGGCAGGUAGGCGGCCUCAUAUGUCCUUUGUGAAAGCCCGCGGCUCAACCGAGGAACUGCAGGGGAAACUGUGGGGCUUGAGUCCGGGAGAGGGUAGCGGAAUUCCCAGUGUAGCGGUGAAAUGCGUAGAUAUUGGGAGGAACACCAGUGGCGAAGGCGGCUACCUGGACCGGAACUGACGCUAAGCUGCGAAAGCUAGGGGAGCAAAC